rnacentral:misc_RNA from 1 species
AUGACACAAAGUUUUAUCCACUCUACGUUCAGACACUUUCUGCUUUUUAUCUCGUUAACAACCGAAGUAACAGAUUCAAAAUCAAUACGCAAGGAUGAGCGACGAAUAUAAUCCAGCAUUGAAUGUGAUUGGGCACAUUAAUAAGUACUACGUACCGAUUUUUCUGUGUCUUUCUUUGCUGGGCAACAGUCUAUCCGUGUAUGUGCUCUUAUGCACAAAACUACGUUACAACUUAUCCAGUAUCUACUUGGGUGCACUUGCAAUGAGCGACAUUGGUGUGUUGGUGACGGUAUUCGUGAGGUGGUUUAGACAGAUGGAAAUUAUAACUCAGGAAUGUUGGUUAAUUCUAUGGCUUGGUUUGCAAUAUUUAUUUUGUUUUCUGAGUGUGUGGAUUGUAGUGACUUUUACAGUUCAACGAUAUAUAGUGAUCAAGUGGCCGCUAUUUCGUCGCUCUUUAUGCACAGUUAAACGAGCGAUAAUCAUAUUGACUGGACUGGCGGGAUUAGCAGUUUUAUUCUCAAUUCCAUGGUAUAUUGUGAGCAGUAAUUUUUUCUGCAUGAGAUUUAAUACAAAAGAUGACAUAACAAAUUUAAAAUUCUGGAAAACAAUUUUAAGCACUAUUCAUACUAUUAUAUCGUUUGUCUUACCUGCAACAAUGGUAGUAGCUUUUAAUACUUUAAUAAUGUACAAUAUUCGCAAGCAAAAUCGUAUCCGAAGAAACUUGAUUUUAAGUUCUUCUGCUUCCAAUGAGGAAACACAAAGAUCUGACAACGAAGCGUCACACAUUGCAGUCACAAAAAUGCUUGUUGUUAUUUCAAGUUUAUUCAUAUGUUUGAAUGUACCUAUAGAAGUCGUUACACUUUGUAGCAGCUAUGGCAUACGGAAUAUAUAUAUUACCAUACUUAUGGAAAUCGGCAAUUACUUAUUUAUAAUAAAUUAUGGAAUAAAUUUUGUUCUCUACUGUGCAGCUGGAAGGAAUUUUCGCAGAGAAUUAAUUUGCAUGUUUAGGAAACAUUCAGAUAGUAGAAGGGAAGAUGUAGAAUAAAAAAUAUUAAGGAACAGUGCGAUUAAUACUUAAUUAUUCAAUUGUUAUAAGAUUUACAUGUUAUGUUUAAAUACACUUGGACAAAAAAAGGAGAUUUAUUUGUUACAAUACACAAAAUAAAAAAUUCUUGAGAAACGCUAAAACUCUUGUUCACGAAAUCACAGUAUAUUAUAUAAAUAUAGUUAAGUAUAAAAAGCUCAAUAAGCACGUUCGAACUACUAAAGAAUAUUAAUAGUAUCAAUAAAAAAGGAUAUAUAUUGUUUUCAAAUUACAGUUCAAAUCAACAGCUAUUAAAAAAACAAUCGAUCUAAGAUCACAAUGUAUAAUAGACCAAUACAUUUUUUUCCUACAUUGCUUUACAAAAAAUAAAUUUAUAUUAUUUUAUUAUUAUCUAAUUAUAAGUUUCCAGUAAAUCUAUUUUUAUUAAAAGCUGCUAUAAACAAUUUAAAAUCAAUACGUAAAAAUUGGUGACAAAAAUGAUUCGGUAUCAAUUGCGAUAGAAACUUUUAGUAACAUCUCACCGUACUACUUACCGAUUCUCUUGUUUCUUUUUUUGUUGGGAAACAGUCUGUGCGUGUAUAUAUUUUUCUGCUCAUCAUUACGUUAUUGCUCGUUCAGUAUCUACGUAGAUGCGCUCGCGAUAAGUGACAAGAGUGGUUGGUGACGGUUUUCGUACGCUGGCUCGAAUUUAUAGAAAUUUUAAAUAAUGACUAUUGGUUGGAUAUUCUUCUGACUGUUUCACUAACGUUAUUUAUUUUCUUGAAUGUGUAAAUUGUUGUGAUUUUUACUAUUCAACGGUAUAUAACGAUCAAGUAAUUUUAAUUUUGAUGAGAGUUUGAGUUUCGCGGAAAAAUAAACGAGUCCUGCUACGUGGCACACGCGGCACUGUAUUGUUCGUUUGACUGGCGCAGUUAGUUCCGUCCCAGACGUCGUAUCAUGUACUACGCUGUUACAAUAAAUAAUAUCUGCUACAAAUUUUUUCACUCUUUGGACACACUCAACCUGGCGAAAAUCGCAGUGAUUGGACUGGCAGAGUUUGCAGUUUUAUACUCUAUCCCAUAGUUUGUUAUAUACAGCAUAAAGUACACGUAUUUAGAUGCACAUGAUGAGAGAAAAAACUUGAUAUACUGGUAAUGGAUUUUAGAAUCUAUCGAUGCUAUUAUAACGCUUGUCUUAUCCACAACAAUGACAGUAAUUUUUAAUGCUCCAAUAUUGCAUAAUAUCCGCAAGAAUAAUCGUAUACGAAGGAACUUAAUUUUAGGAUCCAAUAAGGAAACACAAAGUUCUGACACUAAAUCGUUAAAACCAUACAUUAAGUACGCAAAAUUGAUUACAACUUGUUAUUAUUUUAAGCAUAUUUAUAUGUUUAAAUGCAUCUUUCCUAAUUUUUCAACAACUUAUUGCCUUCGAUAAGAUAUCUAAGAGCUCUGGUAAACUUUCAUACAUAAUUUGAGUCAUUUGCCAAUUAUGGGUAGCAAAUUGCAGAAUAAACUUUUUUCUUCAAGGCGCAACUGGGAAGAAUUUUCACAGAGAAUUGAUUUGCAUGUUUAUGAAACGUUCAAAUAGCAGAAAAAACAAAGAACCGCUGCUAACAAGCUGCAAGCAAGCUGCUUCAAAAUCAAUACGCAAAGAUGAGCGACGAACAUAAUUCAACAUUGAAUGUGAUAAAUCAUAUUGAGAAGUACUACUUACCGAUUUUCUUGUGUCUUUCUCUGUUGGGCAACAGUCUAUCUGUGUAUGUGCUUUUUUGCACAAAACUUCGUUACAACUCAUCUAGCAUCUACUUGGGUGCACUUUCGAUGAGCGAUAUUGGUAUGUUGGUGAUGGUAUGCAUAAAGUUGUUUGGAAACGUGGAAACUAUGGAAUAUUGGUUGCUAAUCUUAUUGAAUGGUUUUCAAACUGUAUUUUGUUUCCUGAGUGUGUGGAUUGUAGUGGCCUUUACUGUUCAACAAUAUAUAGUGAUCAAGUGGCCGCUACUUCAUCGUUCCUUGUGCACAGUUAAUCGAGCGAUAAUCAUAGUGAUUGGAUUGGAAGGAUUAGCAGUUUUAUAUUCUAUAUUUUUUUGGCUUGUUAUAUGGAACACAGCGUACAAGGAUUCAAAUAUUGUUGAAGAAGAAAUGAUCUGGCAGAUUUUUUAUACCAUUAAUGCUAUUAUAACGUCGUUCUUACCUGCAAUAAUGAUAGUAAUUUUUAAUGCUCUAAUAGUAUACAAUAUCCGCAAGCAAAAUCGUAUCCGAAGAAACAUGAUUUCAAGUAUCUCUGCUUCCAAUAAGAACACACAAAGUUCUGACAAUGAAGCGUCUCACAUUGAAGUCACAAAAAUGCUUGUUAUCAUUUCAACCUUAUUCAUAUGUUUACAUACACCUUGGAACGUCAUUCUACUUUGUUUCUUAUAU